AAUAAGAUUAUUUUUUAGUUUUUUGAUACAAUCUUUUGACUCUUCGUCUUAUUUAAAAUUUUUUACUAGAUGAUAAAACAUAAAUAGUACUUUAUGCAUGACUAAUUUUUUAAAGUUUUUUAUAAAAUUUUUAAAUAAGAUGAAUGGUUAAACGUUGGAUACGGAAAAAC
rnacentral:pre_miRNA from 1 species